rfam:Candidatus Pacebacteria bacterium RIFCSPHIGHO2_01_FTLL_46_16 rifcsphigho2_01_scaffold_293, whole genome shotgun sequence.
GCGAGAAUAGCUCAGUGGUAGAGCGCUUCCUUGCCAAGGAAGAGGCCGCGGGUUCGAAUCCCGUUUCUCGCU